rnacentral:rRNA from 1 species
UACGUAGGGACCGAGCGUUAUCCGGAUUCAUUGGGCGUAAAGAGCUCGUAGGCGGCUAUUCAAGUCGGACGUGAAAUCUCGGGGCUCAACUCCGAGCCUGCGUUCGAUACUGGGUAGCUAGAGUCUGGGAGGGGGAUCUGGAAUUCCUGGUGUAGCGGUGGAAUGCGCAGAUAUCAGGAGGAACACCGGUGGCGAAGGCGGCAUCCUGGACCAAUACUGACGCUGAGGAGCGAAAGCCAGGGGAGCAAACGGG